rnacentral:rRNA from 1 species
UCUAGUGAUGAUGGCAAAGAGGCCACACCCGUUCCCAUCCCGAACACGGAAGUUAAGCUCUUUUGCGCCGAUGGUAGUUGGGGGUCUCCCCCUGUGAGAGUAGGAAGUCGCUAGGC